UACAGAAUCAUUCGCCACUUCUGCAAAAUAGGCUAAAUUAUUCCAGUAGCAAUAUGUCUUGACGUGACAAUUACAUUUGUAGAACUCUCCCGCCCCCUACAGCAUAAGGCUUCAUCAGUCCCAGGCAUUUUCUGUGGGUUGUUCACACCUUGAUUUCACAUGUAAAUCACCAACUAGGGUUACAAGACCAUCAUAUGAGUUUGACUGGUAUGUGAAUGGAUGUCAAGGCAGCAUGAUAAGUUGUUCUGGUGAGCAGUGUUACAGCCUCUCUGUUUUGAGACAGUUAUUCCAGCCUUUUUCACUCAUCUUUCAAACCGUCUGUCCCCUCUGUCCGAAAUGUGUACACUGCCGUCCUCAAAGGAGUUUCCACUGUCCUUUAAAUGAAGACAGACUGCUGCAUCUUGACCUUUGGGGUUGACUCAAUCUUGGCCGUGUUUCAUCUGCUGACAUAUCGGUCUGUGUAUUCUUCAUUGCUUUGUUCUGUUUAUGUGUGGAUGAGUGUUUUUUUGUUGUUGUUGUUGUUUUUCAGCAAGUUUCUGGCUUACUGUGUUGCUGGGUUUGAAACAUACAGGAAUGUUGUGUGAACUGACGAUCCUGAAAGACACUCCGGCCAUGUAAGGGAUGACUUAUUGCAUCUCCAUUGCUUCUCUCCUCUGUGUUGGUCUGCUCUUUCUAACAGUUCUAGUUGCUGUAUUAACAAAUCCCUCUUAAGGCAGCUCUAAGUUUUUAAAGCUUCAUUGAGAUGUUUGCACUUCUUGUCUUUCACCUCUGUGUGCUAUUUGGCACAGUCUCAGCCCUCACUGGGAGUGAAGUAAAGCUGUUUCUAGCCCAGGCAUCAUGUUUUCCUUUUCUACAAGGGACAGUGGUGUGUCUAACAAUCCUUUAAUAAAGGUUUUUGACUUUUAUGACUGAACUGUCACAAGUAGCAACACAAUUAUACUAUGCAAGUGAAGACAAUAUUGUAUGUCAGAAUGUCCUGCCUUUUAAAUAAUUCGGUCCUCAUAAACAUUAAUUUUGGGGUUUCUUUGCCACACUUUGUGUUCACUCAACUUAGUUUUUGUGUUCCCUUGAAACAUUGUAGGCCACACUGUAACAAAUUGCUGUAAAAAUACAGCCAAAUUCCAACAGUAAGGUACUAUUUUUUCUACAUAUGGUAAAAUACUGUAAAUUCUGAUGCUCUUUGGAGCCAAAACCAAGAAUGGAUAUUAACAGUAGGCUACUGUAAGAUUUGACAGCAAAAUACAGUAUUUUCAUUUUCGCUGCUGCAGUAAUGGAGGGACAGAAGCCACAUGCAACCAUCGAUAAUCACCGUUCAUCCUCCUUUUGUGAAAUCAAACCAAAAGGUUAAUAACAUCUUACUGAGAAAAUAGAAGAACAGUGACUACAUUUAAUUUUUUCUAACAUUAAACUGGUAUAAUCCUAGCAAGCACCUGACAGGCACAAGAGAGCAUUUUCAGGUAGUGUUCUUCAGUUGGAAGUUUGAAUUACUAGUAUUAAAACAUUAUGUUCACUACUGUUUGCAAGUCUAGUUUAAAGAUUAUUUUAGGAUGGCUGUUUUCUCUUGAACUACACAGUGAAUAAUAACAUUAGUCCAGCCUUGUGUAUACCCUUGCCUUGUUUAUCCCACUUGCAUUUCAUAAUUAAUGAUAGCCCACUGUCUAAAGCACAAAUUCAAAUAUGUAGCCAAGUUGAUUAAGAUAUGUUUGCUGCUGAGCCCCAAAAGAUGGAGUUUUUAUAUUGGUUAUUUUAGCUCAACCCAAGUGUGUUUCUAAGCUGUAGCUACGUUACUGCAAAUAUACUGUUUGUUGCCAAGCUGUACUAAAACCUGGGACAUAAUAGGUAAGUUGUUACAUGUUGUUUUGUAGUAAUGCCUAAGAAGACAAGCUCACAGAGAAUCCUCAUCACCUCAUAAAAUGAGCUGUGAGCCUGGAAGCCAACCUUCUGCCAAUUAUAAUAGAGGACAUUUGAAAGCAUUACAAAUUGUGUAACCUGCAAUCUGUUUGUUUGCGCUUUUAUAGUUUUAAACAGUAGUUUGUAAAGCAGUUUCUGUUUAGACUCAUGACUAAGUUUUACUGGCAGCUCAGGAUAUUAUAAUUAACAGAUUUACACUGAUCCCCUUUGAAAGGGCAUGAACCAUAAGAAUUAUUCUUUCAAACAUACUUGAAUAUACCUGGCAUAUUUGACAGCUUUUGAAUAAAUGUUCAGUUCCAUAAAACA